UUAUACAAAUUCAACACAAUUUAGUUACUUUGUUAUUGCUCAUGGUUUCCAUCUGCUUAUACUGCCCUCAAGUGGAGGCGUCCUGAAGCUGGAUUUGGCUUGAAAUGCCGUUCCCUAAAGAAAAUAACAAUAGACUUGUUUCGUAUAGUUUGAUCUAUGGAGUGAUCAGUGAUAAUGUUGAGAGAUCAAAUAAUUAAUAAUAAAGUUUAAAGGUUAUAAGAUGAGAGGCAGUUUUUGUAAAUGGAAAAAGAGAAAACAAGUACUUGAAAGUGUCGUCUAAACAAAAUUUGUAGGAAAUGACCCAAAAAAUCAAGAGCCUUAUAAAACGCGAGGGUCCAUUGACAUCGUCGCUCUUAAAAAGUAACUCUCUCCUGAAGAUUUUGUCAUUUCUAGCUUAUUGACCAACAUUUCAACUGAAAGUGUAUCUACAGUUGAAGAUCUCAAUAGCAAUAAGGUUGGUGUUGAAUUGGAAGAAUGUCUAGCAGCUAACACCUCACACUUAACAGGGAAAAGGCAAACAGAGUUUGUCAAAACCGGUAUUCCUGAACCAAGACAAACAAGUACACCGCCAACACCAAUUUUCAACAGUGAAGGCUGCCUAGUAUUCAGCAAAUUUGAUUUAGGAGAACUAUCUAAUCCCUCACCCAUUCUGAACAAGACCACUUUAGAUUCAAAAGUGGCAACAAAAAAAAACUCAAAGCCAAAGUUAAAAUCUUGGAUGGCCAAGCUGAAGUUGAGAAUGCGAGAAGUAUUGAAGAGAAACGGGCAUGAAAAGGUGCCCUGCAAAUAGCCAAAGUCUUUCAGGUAAAAAAACAAUGUGGAAUUACUUGCUAAAUCUAUUAAGAAACAAGAUGAAAUCAAAUCAGAUAGUAAAAAGAAGUUGGCUGAACGCAUUGAAGAAUAGGAAAAGAGAAAGGAAUAACAACAGAAAACGAAAAAACCCAACAUUAAGAAAAAGAAAACUGAAAAGAAAGAACAUAAUCCGAAUGAACACCUCACACUUUACAGGGAAAAAGCUGUAAUUGUCUGAUAAGACAACGAAAAUCAAACUUAAACGGAAGCUAGAAGGAAUGAAGAAGAAAUUAAAAAGGAAAAGUAAGAAGAAGAGGUCCUGCAUUGCCAAACAUGCUCGAGCAACAAGGCAGUAUCUGUGUCAUCAACCUCUGGUCUUUCAGAGUUUGUUAAAACAGAAAUUCCUGAACCAAGACUAGCAAGUACACUGCCAACAACAAUUUUUAACAGUGAAGGCUGUCUAGUUUCCAGCAAAUUUGAUUUUGGAGAACUUUCUAAUUCCUCACCCAUUCUGGAAACGACCACUUUAGAUCCAAAGUGGCAACGAUUAAAAUGAAAGAAAAUAAAAUUUAAACCCAAGAUGAAAAUCUUAGUAGGCCAAGCUGAAGUUGAGAAUGCAAGAAGCAUUGAAGAGAAACAGGCAUGAAAUGGUGCUCUGCAAAUAGCUGAAGGUUUUCAGGUAAAAGACUAUGUGGAAUUGCUUGCCAAAUCAAUUAAUGAACGAGAUCAAAUCAGAAAGUCACAUAAAUUGCGCCGAACGAAUCGAAGAAAAGGAAAAGAGAAAAGAAUAACAACAGAAAAAGAGAAAAGCCAGCAUGUAGAAAAAGAAAACUGAAAAGAAAGAACAUAAAGUGAAUAAACUAAAGAAAAGAGGCAAAUUUGUCGUAUGAAAGACUGAAACUGACUCAUGGAUGAGCUAAACUCGUGUUCUUUUAUGUGCAGCUAUGCGUGAUAGUUUUUUAGAAAAAUACACUGGCAUGCCUUCCAUGAUCGUGGAAAA